UAGUCCACGCCGUAAACGAUGUCUACUAGCCGUUGGGAGACUUGAUUUCUUAGUGGCGCAGCUAACGCACUAAGUAGACCGCCUGGGGAGUACGGCCGCAAGGUUAAAACUCAAAUGAAUUGACGGGGGCCCGCACAAGCGGUGGAGCAUGUGGUUUAAUUUGAAGCAACGCGCAGAACCUUACCAACCCUUGACAUAUGUAUCGCGAUUUCCUGAGAAGGAUUUCUUCAGUUCGGCUGGAUACAAUACAGGUGCCGCGUGGCUGUCGUCAGCUCGUGUCGUGAGAUGUUCGGUUAAGUCCGGCAACGAGCGCAACCCACGUCCCUAGUUGCCAUCAUUCAGUUGGGCACUCUAUGGAAACCGCCGGUGAUAAGCCGGAGGAAGGUGUGGAUGAUGUCAAGUCCUCAUGGCCCUUACGGGUUGGGCUACACACGUGCUACAAUGGCGAUGACAAUGGGUUAAUCCCAAAAAAUCGUCUCAGUUCGGAUUGGGGUCUGCAACUCGACCCCA
rnacentral:rRNA from 1 species